CCAGAGUCUCAGGAUGAACAGUUUGCAGGACGAGUCCAGUGGGACAAAGACGUCCUCAGAGAAGGACGACUCAGACUUCAUGUGUCCAGACUCAGGACUGAGGACUCGGGACUGUAUGUGUGUCAAGUUAUGAGAGUAACUCUGGUAGAUGUUGGCUCAAUGUCACUGCAGCUGCUGAUGAGCCCAAACCUCAGAGACCAACAGUGAGACCAGAACCAGAGAGUCUG